rnacentral:rRNA from 1 species
UGGGGAAUUUUGGACAAUGGGGGAAACCCUGAUCCAGCCAUCCCGCGUGUGCGAUGAAGGCCUUCGGGUUGUAAAGCACUUUUGGCAGGAAAGAAACGUCAUGGGUUAAUACCCCGUGAAACUGACGGUACCUGCAGAAUAAGCACCGGCUAACUACGUGCCAGCAGCCGCGGUAAUACGUAGGGUGCAAGCGUUAAUCGGAAUUACUGGGCGUAAAGCGUGCGCAGGCGGUUCGGAAAGAAAGAUGUGAAAUCCCGGAGCUCAACUUUGGAACUGCAUUUUUAACUACCGGGCUAGAGUGUGUCAGAGGGAGGUGGAAUUCCGCGUGUAGCAGUGAAAUGCGUAGAUAUGAGGAAGAACACCGGUGGCGAAGGCAGCCUCCUGGAAUAACAAUGACGCUCAUGCACGAAAGCGUGGGGAGCAAACAGG